rnacentral:rRNA from 1 species
GAGUUUGAUCGUGGCUCAGAUUGAACGCUGGCGGCGUGGAUUAGGCAUGCAAGUCGAGCGAGAACCCAGCAAUGGGGGACAGCGGCGAAAGGGACAGUAAUGUGUAGAUCAUCUGCCCUCAGGCCCGGGAUAGCUGCGGGAAACUGCAGGUAAUACCGGAUAACAUCUCCGGAUCAAAGGUGUGAUUCCGCCUGAGGAUGAGUCUACAUCCUAUUAGCUAGUUGGUAGGGUAACGGCCUACCAAGGCUUUGAUGGGUAGCGGGUGUGAGAGCACGACCCGCGUCAUUGGGACUGAGACACUGCCCAGACACCUACGGGUGGCUGCAGUCGAGAAUCUUCGGCAAUGGGCGCAAGCCUGACCGAGCGACGCCGCGUGCGGGAUGAAGG